CCGGAUCCUUAUAAAAGGGGUCUCCAUCACAGUGCUGUCAUUGUCGUGACGGUUAUAGGUCUUCUUUGGAGCCUCAGAUUCCUUGAGACCCAAGAAAGAUGUCUCACCACCAGCAUCCACAUCCGCAUCAGCAUCAGCAUCACCAUCAGUGCAAGGAGCCCUGCCAUCCACCUCCAAUAGUGUGUCCACUGAAGUGCCAUGAACCGUGCCCACCUCACCCAUGCCCACCUCCAGUGAGCCAGCAGAAAUGCCCUCCUGGACCACCAUGCCCACCAUGCAAGCAGAAGUGUCCACCCAAGUGGAAGUAACAGCACCAUGUUCCAGGCUCUUCCACUGUCCUCCCUUCGGCCAUGGUGACGGAGUGCAUCUUCCUUAAUCUCCCUCCUCAACCGACAGCUGACAGAGUAAAGGCAUGGUUGCUGAAGGUGACACCACGUUGUUGGAAGAAGUGCAGCAGGAUCAUUGCUUGAUCUUUCUGUGCCGUGUGCCCGUCUGUAAUCUGCGUUGUGUUCUCUACCCCAUGAGCACUUAGUGUGUCUAUUCCUUGCUUCUCCAAUAAAGCAUAUUCGUAGCCCAUUA